rnacentral:rRNA from 1 species
GAUGAACGCUAGCGACAGGCUUAACACAUGCAAGUCGAGGGGCAGCACAGGUAGCAAUACCGGGUGGCGACCGGCGCACGGGUGAGUAACGCGUAUGCAACUUACCUAUCAGAGGGGGAUAACCCGGCGAAAGUCGGACUAAUACCGCAUGAAGCAGGGGCCCCGCAUGGGGAUAUUUGCUAAAGAUUCAUCGCUGAUAGAUAGGCAUGCGUUCCAUUAGGCAGUUGGCGGGGUAACGGCCCACCAAACCGACGAUGGAUAGGGGUUCUGAGAGGAAGGUCCCCCACAUUGGUACUGAGACACGGACCAAACUCCUACGGGAGGCAGCAGUGAGGAAUAUUGGUCAAUGGGCGUAAGCCUGAACCAGCCAAGUCGCGUGAGGGAUGAAGGUUCUAUGGAUCGUAAACCUCUUUUAUAAGGGAAUAAAGUGUGGGACGUGUCCCGUUUUGUAUGUACCUUAUGAAUAAGGAUCGGCUAACUCCGUGCCAGCAGCCGCGGUAAUACGGAGGAUCCGAGCGUUAUCCGGAUUUAUUGGGUUUAAAGGGUGCGUAGGCGGCCUUUUAAGUCAGUGGUGAAAGUCUGUGGCUCAACCAUAGAAUUGCCGUUGAAACUGGGGGGCUUGAGUAUGUUUGAGGCAGGCGGAAUGCGUGGUGUAGCGGUGAAAUGCUUAGAUAUCACGCAGAACCCCGAUUGCGAAGGCAGCCUGCCAAGCCAUGACUGACGCUGAUGCACGAAAGCGUGGGGAUCAAACAGGAUUAGAUACCCUGGUAGUCCACGCAGUAAACGAUGAUCACUAGCUGUUUGCGAUACAGUGUAAGCGGCACAGCGAAAGCGUUAAGUGAUCCACCUGGGGAGUACGCCGGCAACGGUGAAACUCAAAGGAAUUGACGGGGGCCCGCACAAGCGGAGGAACAUGUGGUUUAAUUCGAUGAUACGCGAGGAACCUUACCCGGGUUUGAACGCAUUCGGACCGAGGUGGAAACACCUUUUCUAGCAAUAGCCGUUUGCGAGGUGCUGCAUGGUUGUCGUCAGCUCGUGCCGUGAGGUGUCGGCUUAAGUGCCAUAACGAGCGCAACCCUUGCCACUAGUUACUAACAGGUAAAGCUGAGGACUCUGGUGGGACUGCCAGCGUAAGCUGCGAGGAAGGCGGGGAUGACGUCAAAUCAGCACGGCCCUUACAUCCGGGGCGACACACGUGUUACAAUGGCGUGGACAAAGGGAAGCCACCUGGCGACAGGGAGCGAAUCCCCAAACCACGUCUCAGUUCGGAUCGGAGUCUGCAACCCGACUCCGUGAAGCUGGAUUCGCUAGUAAUCGCGCAUCAGCCAUGGCGCGGUGAAUACGUUCCCGGGCCUUGUACACACCGCCCGUCAAGCCAUGGGAGCCGGGGGUACCAGAAGUCCGUAACCGCGAGGAUCGGCCUAGGGUA